AUAUCAAUAAGCGGAGGAAAAGAAACUAACAAGGAUUCCCCUAGUAACUGCGAGUGAAGAGGGAAGAGCUCAAAUUUAAAAUCUGUCAGUCUUUAGCUGGCCGAGUUGUAAAUUAGAGAAGUGCCUAUCUGCGCUGGCCUGUGCAAAAGUCUCUUGGAAAAGGGCAUCAUAGAGGGUGACAAUCCCGUCUUUGGUACAGAGCUCCAGGGCUUCAUGAUGUGCUCUCGAUGAGUCGAGUUGUUUGGGAAUGCAGCUCUAAAUGGGUGGUAAAUUCCAUCUAAAGCUAAAUAUUGGCGAGAAACCGAUAGCGCACAAGUACCGCUGAGGGAAAGAUGAAAAGAACUUUGAAAAGAGAGUUAAACAGUAC
rnacentral:rRNA from 1 species